CUUGACCUCUGAUUGCUAGGAUCAAAGAUUUUGAGAGCUGAAGAGUAAAGUGCCUAGAGAUAAUUUUGUUUUAAGGAAAAUGAGGCUCCGACAGGUGAAGUCAGUUGACCAAGGUGGCACAAGUGUCAGAACCGAAACCCCAUCCUCUGGCUGCCAUCCAGUUUUCUUUCCACCUCACCAUAAUGAGAUAUGAUGCCUAACUUCCCGUUUCCCUCCAGAGAAUUUCCUAUAAGUACUUUGAAUAUUCUCUCAUAAUGGUUUCUCCAACUCCUGUGUUUUGCUAGUUUCCUCAUUAUGAUGCUGCUCCCCAGACAGCUCUGGAAUUCACCCACUUCUGAGGGAUUGGGAGCCAGAAUUCUUCAUCAGUGUCUUACCCUCAAGAUCUUCCCUCUCCCAACCCCAUCUUGGAUGAUUUAACUUCUAUGGGGAUUUUUUUUUUUUAACUGCCACAAGGUAUAUAAUCUUCGAAAGUGAAUUUCCUCCUUGUUUCUUUUGAAAGAUAUUUUUAAACCCGGAGAGAACAAGUGAUGUAUAACAACUCUAUCAGAAGUUCAUUAUGUGGAAAAUAAGAAAAAAGUGUAAAGAAAAAGACACAGAACCUGUGAUCCCAAACCCUAAAGCAUGAAGGGGUGCCUGGAGCUGCCUGCAGGCUGUGUGGAAGAUGAAGCUGGCAUCCUGGAAGACAGAGCAGAGACACAGAGUGAAUCAGCAUAUGCGUGCAUAUAUGGCCCUCAUCAUUAUGGUCCAAGAUGAACUCCAGGCAUCGCAUCAAUGUUCCAAGCAGGAGGAUGAGGGACGAGGAGGAAGAGACAAAGGGCACAUCCCAGGUGUAUCUUAAAGAAAUUUCCCAGAAGCUGCCAAACAAUAAUUCUGCUAAUCCUAUUGGUCAGAACUAAGUUAUAUAUAGCCAUGUCUAGC